AAAAGGAAGAAGAUACAGAAUGUAACGAGCCUUCUGAGGUAGCGAGUAUGACACAUGAAACACGAACUGAAACCACAGAGGACAUAACAGAGCCAAAUAAGGACCUCAAUGCUCCAAUUUCAGGAGAAAGCAACAAAACAUUUGUUGAAAAUAUUUCCACUCUCGCUGAGGUAUCUGAGAUGGAGACUGAGAAAAAUGGCCUGGCUGUCAGCAAUUCUGACUCUGCGUCGGGUGAAGUGAGUCAUGUAACAGGUUUGAAGGAAGCUGAAACAGAAAAGGAGGAGCAGAAAGAAAACAUGGAUACUGCUCCGGAAGAGAAGGGUCAAGCAACCAUCGUAAAAGAUGAAAUGGCCUCGGAAGUUGAAGAUAUUGGUGUACAAGCAGAGGAAAAUUGUGAAUCAAAAGAGAAGUUGGAGGAGCAUAUUCCAACAGCAGCAGACAAGGUUGAAACAUUCUCAAAGGAAGCCGAGGCAGAAAAUGAGGAGCAGAUAAACAAUGGUGAUGUUGCUGCUGAAGAGAAGGUUUCGGAAACCAUCUUAACAAAUGAAAGAACCUUCGACGUGGAAGAUACCAAUGUGCAAGCAGAGAAAAAUGUCGAAUCAAAUGAGAACUUGGAGGAGACUAUUCCAACAGCAGCGGAUGAAGGCGAAACAUCCCUGCAGGAAGCUGAAGCAGAAGGCAAGGAUGAGAUUAAAAGUACUGAUAUUGCUCAUGCAGAUACUGAUGGACAUGGAGAUGAAAUUGAUAAUUCUGAAGAGAACUUGGAUAAGCAGAUCCCAGCAGGCGAACGUGAAAUAAGCUUGAAAGCAGCCGAAGCAGAAUAUAAGGAGCAGGUCAAACAUGCUGAUAUUGUUCCUGAAGAGGAGGGUCUAGCAACCGUCUUAACAGACGAAACACCCUUAGAUGUCGAGGAUAUUGAGGUAAAAACUGACUGUGUCGAAUCAAAAGAGAAUGUGGAGGAGCAGAUUCCAACAACAGUAGAUGAAGGCGGAAAAAGUACUUAUAUUUCUCCUGAAGAUAUUGAAGUACAAGCAGAUGAAAAUUUUAUUACACUAGAGAAUUUGGAGAAGCCAAUUCUAACAACAUCAGGUGAACGAGAAACAGGCUUGGGAGAAGCUGAAGCAGAAAUUAAGGAGCAGGUCAAAAGUAUUGAUAUUGUUCCUGAAGAGAUGGCAACCAUCUCAACAGCUGAGACACCCUCGGAUGUUGAAGUUAUCGGUGUACAAGCAGAGGAAAGCCUCAAAUCAAAAGAGAGCGUGGAGGAGCAGAUUCCAACAGCAGCGGAUGAAGAUGAAAGAUUCUUGAAGGAAUCCAAAGCAGAAAACAAGGAGCUGAUCGACGAGGAAAAUUUGAAUUUACAAGAACAAGUGACUGAAAUUACAAACACAAUAGAAGAUGACACUGAAAGGGAGGAGGUAAGAUCGGAAUAAAUUUUUUUAUGAGUUUUUCUCUCUGGCUUACCAUCUGACAAGUAGUCUCCCUACACGGUUUUGUUAUUGAUUAAGAUGCAAGAUUCAUAACGUAUCACAGAUGCAUAUGAACAUGCGAAGAAACUAUGUUUUAUUUUAAAAUGGUAAGAACGAUUUCUAAAAUCUAUUUUCUCCUUAUAUAUUAUGAUGGUUUCAUCUCUAAUGUAGGUGCUUGAGACUACCAGUACGGAGCAAGAAACUGGAGAACAUGUGGUACACGAAAUUCAUACUGUCCCAGAACCCCCUCGAGACUCCAUUGAUAAAGAAACAAAUGAAGACAACUCCGCGGAAUAUCAGGUUUACCUGGACACAAACAUAAGGCCUACAAAAGUGUGAUCCUUUUUCUUCGUCUCCCAGUACAUAACCUUUGUUUUUUUUUUCCCUUCCAAUGUUAGGCAUGUACUGAGGCAGCUGAUUUGAGUACAAGUGCAGAGGAAAAGAACUUAGAGGAACAUGCCAUUCGGGAACUCUCUUCUCCACUGGUAGUAGAAGAAGCAACUAAAGAAAUCCCGAAAGAAGAAGAAACCUACCCCACGCUUCUAGAAGAAGAGGUAAUCUAGCAUUCAAUAUCAAAUUUUUAGAUUAAAAUACACUAUAGUAUUAUCUUGCAAAUUGAAAUUUACAACUCAUAUCGGCAACAGGAAAAGGAAGGGCAUGCAACAUGUAACAAGCCCAAUGAGGAAUAUGAGGCAGAGAUUGAGAAAAAUAUUCAGGAGAAAGAUGGCAACACAGUUAGCAAUUCUGAAUCUCUGUCUGGAGAACUGAGUCAUGUAACAGCCUUGAAGGAAUGUGAAACAGAGAUUGAAAGGCAGGACAGGAACAUUGAUACUGCUCCUGAAGAGAAGGGUCAAGCAACCAUCUCAGCAGAUGAAACAGCCUCGGAAGUUGAGGAUAUUGAUGUACAAUUAAAGGAGAACCUUGAGUCUAAAGAGAACUUGGAGGAACAAUUUCCAACAGCAGCAGAUGAAGGUGAAAUAAUCUUGAAAGAAGCUGAAGCAAAAAACCAGGAGCAGAUAAAAAAUGUUGAAAUUGCUCAUGAAGAUGUUGAUGCACAAGCGGAGAAAACUGUCAACUCAGAAGAGAACAUAGAUAAGCAGAUUCUGCCAAUAGCACAUGAAGGUGAAACAAGCUUGAAAGAAACCGCUGUCUUGAUUCUAAAAGAAGAGGUUAGCAUGAUAUCAGAAUUUUCGAUUUUUACAUUAUAGUUCAUUGUAUUACAUAUUCCAAUCAAGAAUUGGUAUCCCCCUGCAGAUAAAGGAAGAAGAUACAGAAUGUAAUGAGCCUGCUGAGGUAGCGAGUAUGACACAUGAAACACGAUCUGAAACCACAGAGGACAUAACAGAGCCAAAUAAGGACGUCAAUGCUCCAAUUUCAGGAGAAAGCAACAAAACAUUUGUUGAAAAUAUUUCCACACUCGCUGAGGUAUCUGAGACGGGGACUGAGAAAAAUGUUCAGGAGAAAAAUGGCCCGGCUGUCAGCAAUUCUGACUCUGCGUCAGGUGAAGUGAGUCAUGUAACAGGUUUGAAGGAAGCUGAAACAGAAAAGGAGGAGCAGAAAGAAAACAUUGAUACUGCUCCGGAAGAGAAGGUUCAAGCUACCGUCUUAAAAGAU
rnacentral:lncRNA from 1 species